rnacentral:lncRNA from 1 species
AAAUACUAAAAUUCAAAUUAUUUUGUUAAUUAAUCAAAAGAAUAAAAAUUCAAAUUACAUCAUUAAAAUACUAAAAUCAUAACAUAUUUACAUCAUAACAUAACAUAUUAUCAUAUUUACAUAUUUACAUCAUUUACAUCAUAUUUACAUCAUAACAUAUUUACAUCAUUUAAUCAAAAUACUAAAAUUCAAAUACUAAAAUACUAAAAUUUUACUCAAAUACUAAAAUUUUACCAUAGUUGUAUAACAUAUCAAAAUACUAAAAUUUUAUCAUAGUUGUAUAACAUAUCAAAAUACUAAAAGUCACUUACCCGACACUAAAAUACUAAUUACAUAUUUACAUCAAAUACUAAAAAUACUA